rnacentral:rRNA from 1 species
AGAGCGAACGCUGGCGGCAGGCUUAACACAUGCAAGUCGAGCGGGCGUAGCAAUACGUCAGCGGCAGACGGGUGAGUAACGCGUGGGAACAUGCCUUUUGGUUCGGAACAACACAGGGAAACUUGUGCUAAUACCGGAUAAGCCCUUACGGGGAAAGAUUUAUCGCCGAAAGAUUGGCCCGCGUCUGAUUAGCUAGUUGGUGAGGUAACGGCUCACCAAGGCGACGAUCAGUAGCUGGUCUGAGAGGAUGAUCAGCCACAUUGGGACUGAGACACGGCCCAAACUCCUACGGGAGGCAGCAGUGGGAAUAUUGGACAAUGGGCGCAAGCCUGAUCCAGCCAUGCCGCGUGAGUGAUGAAGGCCCUAGGGUUGUAAAGCUCUUUGUGCGGGAAGAUAAUGACGGUACCGCAAGAAUAAGCCCGGCUAACUUCGACGCCAGCAGCCGC